UAGGGGUCAUUGCUAUAAGUGUGGAGAUUAUGGGCAUUCAGCCAAACGGUGUCCUGGGUUGGCUCAGAAACAGCAUGGGCAACAGGGACAGUGGCAACCAUUACCUACUCCACAGAUUCCACGUGUGCAGGCUCAGACAUUUCCGGCCUUACCAGCACCACCGCCACCGCAGGGACAGCCUAUACAGCAGUUGCAUCAGGGUAUGGUGUACAAUGCCACACCUUGCAAUGCAUGGGUACCUCAGAAGAAUUGAGGUUGUAGAAGGUCAAGUCUCAAGGUUGAGGAUCCGCAGCUGGAGGACUUAUCCAUUCCUUCUAUUUACUUAAAAGUAGGAUAUUAGUUUUGUUUCAGUUGAUAUUAGUACUUAUUUGGUUGAAAUUCUAAAUAGUAACUUUUGGUUAAGGGGUCCUUGAGUUACGGGAUUCCCGAGUUGUAACCAUUUGGAAGUUAUUAAUGGAUUUACUAUUAAUUGGA